GUGCUUGCUUCAGCAGCACAUAUGCUAAAAUUGGAACGAUAGAGAAGAUUAGCAUUGCCCCUGCCCAAGGAUGACAUGGAAAUUCGUGAAGCAUUCCAUGUUUUU
rnacentral:snRNA from 1 species